UGACAGGUGCUGCAUGGCUGUCGUCAGCUCGUGUCGUGAGAUGUUGGGUUAAGUCCCGCAACGAGCGCAACCCUCGCCUUUAGUUGCCAGCAUUCAGUUGGGCACUCUAGGAAGGGACUGCCGGUGUCAAACCGGAGGAAGGUGGGAUGACGUCAAGUCCUCAUGGCCUUUAUGUCUAGGGCUACACACGUACUACAAUGGCCGGUACAAAGGGCAGCCACUCAGCGAUGAGGCGCUAAUCCCAUAAAGCCGGUCUCAGUCCGGAUCGCAGUCUGCAACUCGACUGCGUGAAGUUGGAAUCGCUAGUAAUCGUAGAUCAGCAUGCUACGGUGAAUACGUUCCCGGGCCUU
rnacentral:rRNA from 1 species